AAGCCCAAGGACCAGGGUCACCCAUGUUUGAGGGCAGGAGAAGAUAGAUGUCUCUCCUCAAGCCAAGAGAGCAGAUUCACUCUUCCCCCACUGUUUUGUUCUAUUCCGGUUCUCAACAGAUUGGAUGAUGUUCACCCACAUUGGUGAGAGUGAUCUUCUUUACUCAAUUAACCAAUUCAAAUGUUAAUCUCUUCUGGAAACACCCUCAUAAACAAACCUCCAAAUAAUGUUUUACCAGCUAUCUGGGCAUCCCUUAGCCCAGAUAAGUGGCCACAUAAAAUUAACCAUCAUAGCAAGGAACUACUUCCAAAUAAAUAGUAGCUGAAUUUUAGAAGUCUCCCUAUAAACCCAGGAGACUGAGCACAUAAUUGUUUCUUUCUUGCUCUAUCAGUUUUGAGAUUCCAUGCAUUUUCUCGGAUGAUAAGGCCCAUGCCAGCUAUUUAGAGAACUGGCAACAAGUUCUUUCCAUGAAGUGUGCAAGAAGAAGUUGGUGAGGAGAAGUUCUUACUAAAGAAUUUGGAGCAGGAAGAAAAAGAAAUGUUUAGCCUUGGAAUUAUACAUCAAAUUAUUCAGGAUGCAAAUACAGCUUAAUGGUAGCAUCCAAGGCAGCUCUGGAGCAAGCCUUCAGAAUUGCUUAAUUCAACCAGGGUUCAAUAAGGAGUUAAACACCAACCUAUAGAAGUGAACAAAAAAUGGGGUAGCCAGCCAGAUAAUCUCCCUCAACUCCACACUCAUUGAUUCCAUCUUAGUCUCAGGGAGUCCCUGCCUUCCCCUAUCUCUGCCCUGUAACACACACACACGCACUAUCAUUUUUUUUGCAUAUUACAGUCAAUCAAUACAUCUACUGUAUUUAGAAUUACAGGGUUGUAAAUCUGGAAGAGAUCUUGGAUAUCAUCUUAGUCAAACUCUCCCAUUUUACAAAUGAUGGAACUGAGGCCCGGAAAUCAUUAGUGACCCGCCCAGAGUCAAAUUUGAACUACUCAGUUGUAGACCUCAGAUGAGAGCUUAAGGUACCAUACUCCAGUGUUCUUUUCAGUCUACUAUAUUGCAUUGUUAAUUCAAGAACACAAUGAGCACCCAGCCUGAGCAACAUAAUGAGAGCCUGUGUCUACAAAAAAUAGCCAGAUGUAAUGUCUCACACCUGUAGUCCCAGCUACUUGAGAGUCUGAGGUGGGAGGAUCACUUGAGCACGGGAAGUUGAGACUGCAGUGAACCAUGAUCACACCACUGUACUCUAGUCUGAGCAACAAAGCAAGACACUGUCUCAAAAAAAGAAAAAA
rnacentral:lncRNA from 1 species